CCUACGGGAGGCAGCAGUGGGGGAUAUUGCACAAUGGGGGGAACCCUGAUGCAGCGACGCCGCGUGGGUGAAGAAGCGCCUCGGCGCGUAAAGCCCUGUCAGCAGGGAAGAAAAUGACGGUACCUGAAGAAGAAGCCCCGGCUAACUACGUGCCAGCAGCCGCGGUAAUACGUAGGGGGCAAGCGUUAUCCGGAUUAACUGGGUGGAAAGGGGGCGCAGACGGCGAUGCAAGCAAGGAGUGAAAGCCCGGGGCCCAACCCCGGGACUGCUCUUGGCACUGCGUGGCUGGAGUGCAGGAGGGGCAGGCGGAAUUCCUGGUGUAGCGGUGAAAUGCGUAGAUAGCAGGAGGAACACCGGUGGCGAAGGCGGCCUGCUGGACUGCAACUGACGUUGAGGCCCGAAAGCGUGGGGAGCAAACAGGAUUAGAUACCCGGGUAGUC
rnacentral:rRNA from 1 species